rnacentral:rRNA from 1 species
GUAGGUGAACCUGCAGCUGGAUCAUU